rnacentral:rRNA from 1 species
UUUUUUAUAUAUAUUUUAAUUUUCCCCCCGCAGACGAACGCUGGCGGCGUGCCUAAUACAUGCAAGUCGAACGCUUCUUUUUCCACCGGAGCUUGCUCCACCGGAAAAAAGAAGAGUGGCGAACGGGUGAGUAACACGUGGGUAACCUGCCCAUCAGAAGGGGAUAACACUUGGAAACAGGUGCUAAUACCGUAUAACAAUCAAAACCGCAUGGUUUUGAUUUGAAAGGCGCUUUCGGGUGUCGCUGAUGGAUGGACCCGCGGUGCAUUAGCUAGUUGGUGAGGUAACGGCUCACCAAGGCCACGAUGCAUAGCCGACCUGAGAGGGUGAUCGGCCACAUUGGGACUGAGACACGGCCCAAACUCCUACGGGAGGCAGCAGUAGGGAAUCUUCGGCAAUGGACGAAAGUCUGACCGAGCAACGCCGCGUGAGUGAAGAAGGUUUUCGGAUCGUAAAACUCUGUUGUUAGAGAAGAACAAGGAUGAGAGUAACUGUUCAUCCCUUGACGGUAUCUAACCAGAAAGCCACGGCUAACUACGUGCCAGCAGCCGCGGUAAUACGUAGGUGGCAAGCGUUGUCCGGAUUUAUUGGGCGUAAAGCGAGCGCAGGCGGUUUCUUAAGUCUGAUGUGAAAGCCCCCGGCUCAACCGGGGAGGGUCAUUGGAAACUGGGAGACUUGAGUGCAGAAGAGGAGAGUGGAAUUCCAUGUGUAGCGGUGAAAUGCGUAGAUAUAUGGAGGAACACCAGUGGCGAAGGCGGCUCUCUGGUCUGUAACUGACGCUGAGGCUCGAAAGCGUGGGGAGCAAACAGGAUUAGAUACCCUGGUAGUCCACGCCGUAAACGAUGAGUGCUAAGUGUUGGAGGGUUUCCGCCCUUCAGUGCUGCAGCUAACGCAUUAAGCACUCCGC